rnacentral:rRNA from 1 species
UCUUUAUAUAGCAGCUUCUAUACUUAAUUGCCGUCCCACACAUAGAAAAAUUAAUAUAUUUAGUUGGGGUGACGCGAAGUAUUAAACACUUCUUUACUACACAAAAAUUUAAGGUAAGAUGACCCGGCACGCCGAUCAAAAGAUUAAGU